rnacentral:rRNA from 1 species
AGUAAAAGUCGUAACAAGGUCUCCGUUGGUGAACCAGCGGAGGGAUCAUUACAGAGUUAUCUAACUCCCAAACCCAUGCGAACUUACCUAUGUUGCCUCGGCGGAGAAGCCUACCCGGUACCUACCCUGUAGGGACCCGGGAGCGAGCUACCCUGUAGCCCGCUGCUGGCUGACCCGCCGGUGGACAGCCAAACUCUUGUUUUACAGUGAAACUUCUGAUAUUUUAUACUUAAUAAGUUAAAACUUUCAACAACGGAUCUCUUGGUUCUGGCAUCGAUGAAGAACGCAGCGAAAUGCGAUAAGUAAUGUGAAUUGCAGAAUUCAGUGAAUCAUCGAAUCUUUGAACGCACAUUGCGCCCAUUAGUAUUCUAGUGGGCAUGCCUGUUCGAGCGUCAUUUCGACCAUCAAGCCUCAGUUGCUUGGUUUUGGGAGCCUACCUCUGGGUAGCUCCUCAAAUGGAGUGGCGGAGUCGUGCCGACCCCAGGCGUAGUAAUCUUUUCUCGCUUCAGGUGCCGGUGCUGACGUCCUGCCGUUAAACCCCCCUAUUUUUUAACAGGUUUGACCUCGGAUCAGGUAGGAAUACCCGCUGAACUUAAGCAUAUCAAUAAGCGGAGGA